rnacentral:rRNA from 1 species
UACGAAGGGGGCGAGCGUUGUUCGGAUUUACUGGGCGUAAAGGGCGCGCAGGCGGCGCAUUUUGUCAGGCGUGAAAGCCCCGGGCUUAACCUGGGACUGCGUUUGAUACGGAUGGGCUAGAGUUCGGGAGAGGAGAGUGGAAUUCCCAGUGUAGCGGUGAAAUGCGUAGAUAUUGGGAGGAACACCAGUGGCGAAGGCGGCUCACUGGACCGGAACUGACGCUGAGGCGCGAAAGCGUGGGGAGCAAACGGG